rnacentral:tRNA from 1 species
GCCCGUGGCCCAGCAUGGAUUAAGGCGCCGAGCCGCCCUUAAAAGCCGGAGAACCGGGGUUCAAAUCCCCGCGGGC